rnacentral:rRNA from 1 species
UGCCCUUUGCACUGGGAUAGCCUCGGGAAACCGAGGUAAUACCGGAUACUCCAUAUUUGUCGCAUGGCGAAUAUGGGAAAGCUCCGGCGGCAAAGGAUGGGCCCGCGGCCUGUUAGCUAGUUGGUGGGGGUAGUGGGCCUACCAAGGCAAUGAUGGGUAGCCGGGUUGAGAGACCGACCGGCCAGAUUGGGACUGAGACACGGCCCAGACUCCUACGGGAGGCAGCAGCC